GCACGGGUAGUAUAUAAAAAUUACAAUAACUUUUCGUGUUAUAAAUUUGAUAGUAAAUCAACCUGGGUA
rnacentral:tRNA from 1 species